CCUACGGGAGGCAGCAGUGAGGAAUAUUGGUCAAUGGGCGAGAGCCUGAACCAGCCAAGUCGCGUGAGGGAGUACUGCCCUAUGGGUUGUAAACCUCUUUUGUCGGGGAGCAAAAGCCGGACGUGUCCGGCUGUGAGAGUACCCGAAGAAAAAGCAUCGGCUAACUCCGUGCCAGCAGCCGCGGUAAUACGGAGGACGCGAGCGUUAUCCGGAGUUAUUGGGUGUAAGGGGGGCGCAGGCGGAUUUCUAAGUCUACGGUAAAAUCGUGGGGCUCAACCCCAUACAGCAGUUGAAACUGGGGAUCUAGAGUGUGCGAGAGGUAUGCGGAAUGCGUGGUGUAGCGGUGAAAUGCAUAGAUAUCACGCAGAACCCCGAUUGCGAAGGCAGCAUACCGGUGCACAACUGACGCUCAGGCACGAAAGCGUGGGUAUCGAACAGGAUUAGAUACCCGAGUAGUC
rnacentral:rRNA from 1 species